rnacentral:misc_RNA from 1 species
GGAUGCUCAAGAACAAAAUCGCAGAGAUCUACACGCCCAAACAUAUAAGCCCCCUUCUCGUAGAUAUCCAAUUGCUCAAUGAUGGAGCCAUCUUUGAGAACUUCAAGGUAAAAGUUAUGGCAAGGAGGCCCGCUCCAUUCAGGAAUGGUGUAAGGCACUGAGGACCGCUUCACGCUCUGUUCAGAGGGCUGUAUUGAAUUGGAAUUGGGUGAGUUCAAAUUUGGAUUUUCGACGGCUUCCGAUUCGGAAGGUAUAGUGUUUCUCGGGGGCGGUGGUGGAGGUGGGCCCAUAUGGCCUUUCACUAAAGAAUCUUGAGGUUGGUCGAGAGUUUUGGGUUGUUCGGAGGUCGUCAUCGUGGUGGAGGAGGCGGCGGUGGAGGGCGAGGGGUUAGGGUUUUUAGGAGGUGGAGGUCCCAUAGAGGUCGUCAUUUUUACUGCUGUGUGACUAGCAGAGAC